GGAUGUGAGGGCGAUCUGACUGCGACACCUGUCACCCCAUUGGUUGCCAGGGUUGAUUCAGCUGAACUGGCUGGCUAGGCAGUCGUCCCUCCUCCCUCACUGAUCCAUGUGCAUGUGCGUCCCUCCUGAAGCUGCAUCCUCCGUGGAAGAGGACGACUGACCCCCUCCCUACCCCCUCCUCCCCAGGAGAGGACUGGUCUUCGGUCAAGGGUAUACGUAGCUGUGCUCCCUGCUGGAACCUCCAAACAAGUGCUCACCAUCCAUCUGUAGGAGAACAUAGGCUAGUCAAGCUUCCAAGGCUCCAGACACAUGCAAACGAGGGCUGCACGUGGCAGCCUGCCUUUAUUU
ensembl:misc_RNA 7SK 7SK RNA